UACGAAGGGUGCAAGCGUUACUCGGAAUUACUGGGCGUAAAGCGUGCGUAGGUGGUUUUUUAAGUCCGUUGUGAAAGCCCUGGGCUCAACCUGGGAAUGGCAGUGGAUACUGGAAAGCUAGAGUGCGGUAGAGGGUAGUGGAAUUCCCGGUGUAGCAGUGAAAUGCGUAGAGAUCGGGAGGAACACCAGUGGCGAAGGCGGCUACCUGGACCGGCACUGACACUGAGGCACGAAAGCGUGGGGAGCAAACAGG
rnacentral:rRNA from 1 species